GAUGAACGCUGGCGGCGUGCCUAAUACAUGCAAGUCGAGCGAACAGACGAGGAGCUUGCUCCUCUGACGUUAGCGGCGGACGGGUGAGUAACACGUGGAUAACCUACCUAUAAGACUGGGAUAACUUCGGGAAACCGGAGCUAAUACCGGAUAAUAUAUUGAACCGCAUGGUUCAAUAGUGAAAGACGGUUUUGCUGUCACUUAUAGAUGGAUCCGCGCCGCAUUAGCUAGUUGGUAAGGUAACGGCUUACCAAGGCAACGAUGCGUAGCCGACCUGAGAGGGUGAUCGGCCACACUGGAACUGAGACACGGUCCAGACUCCUACGGGAGGCAGCAGUAGGGAAUCGUCCGCAAUGGGCGAAAGCUUGACGGAGCAACGCCGCGUGAGUGAUGAAGGUCUUCGGAUCGUAAAACUCUGUUAUUAGGGAAGAACAAAUGUGUAAGUAACUAGGCACGUCUUGACGGUACCUAAUCAGAAAGCCACGGCUAACUACG
rnacentral:rRNA from 1 species